CAUGCAAGUCGAACGAUGAACCACUUCGGUGGGGAUUAGUGGCGAACGGGUGAGUAACACGUGGGCAAUCUGCCCUUCACUCUGGGACAAGCCCUGGAAACGGGGUCUAAUACCGGAUACUGACCCUCGCAGGCAUCUGCGAGGUUCGAAAGCUCCGGCGGUGAAGGAUGAGCCCGCGGCCUAUCAGCUUGUUGGUGAGGUAAUGGCUCACCAAGGCGACGACGGGUAGCCGGCCUGAGAGGGCGACCGGCCACACUGGGACUGAGACACGGCCCAGACUCCUACGGGAGGCAGCAGUGGGGAAUAUUGCACAAUGGGCGAAAGCCUGAUGCAGCGACGCCGCGUGAGGGAUGACGGCCUUCGGGUUGUAAACCUCUUUCAGCAGGGAAGAAGCGAAAGUGACGGUACCUGCAGAAGAAGCGCCGGCUAACUACGUGCCAGCAGCCGCGGUAAUACGUAGGGCGCAAGCGUUGUCCGGAAUUAUUGGGCGUAAAGAGCUCGUAGGCGGCUUGUCACGUCGGUUGUGAAAGCCCGGGGCUUAACCCCGGGUCUGCAGUCGAUACGGGCAGGCUAGAGUUCGGUAGGGGAGAUCGGAAUUCCUGGUGUAGCG
rnacentral:rRNA from 1 species